GAUGAACGCUGGCGGCGUGCCUAAUACAUGCAAGUCGAGCGAAUGGAUUAAGAGCUUGCUCUUAUGAAGUUAGCGGCGGACGGGUGAGUAACACGUGGGUAACCUGCCCAUAAGACUGGGAUAACUACGGGAAACCGGGGCUAAUACCGGAUAACAUUUUGAACCGCAUGGUUCGAAAUUGAAAGGCGGCUUCGGCGGUCACUUAUGGAUGGACCCGGGUCGCAUUAGCUAGUUGGUGAGGUAACGGCUCACCAAGGCAACGAUGCGUAGCCGACCUGAGAGGGUGAUCGGCCACACUGGGACUGAGACACGGCCCAGACUCCUACGGGAGGCAGCAGUAGGGAAUCUUCCGCAAUGGACGAAAGUCUGACGGAGCAACGCCGCGUGAGUGAUGAAGGCUUUCGGGUCGUAAAACUCUGUUGUUAGGGAAGAACAAGUGCUAGUUGAAUAAGCUGGCACCUUGACGGUACCUAACCAGAAAGCCACGGCUAACUACGUGCCAGCCGCCGCUGUAA
rnacentral:rRNA from 1 species